AAAAUACAAUAAACAAUUCAACUUUUUUAAAUCUCACAACAAAAAUUAUAUUAACAAAAUUUUUGUGAGGUGUAUUGUUUAUUAAGUUAUGUGAAAGUAGAUAAGUAAGUUUUGAAUAUUUUUCUCUAAUAUGUUUUAUAUUUUAUUAGGGUUUGUGAAAAUGGAUAAAUAAGAGUUGAAAUCUUGGAAAAUGAUUGGACUAUUGUUGAAAUGUGACUUUUUUUCUAGAUUGAAAGAUGAUUUGAUUGAGGUUGAAUUUAAAAAAAAAAAAAAAAAAAAAAAAAAAAAAAAAAAAAAAAACUAACCAAGCAUGGCCUUAAGGCCCCUUUGAG